GAGUUUGAUCUUGGCUCAGAUUGAACGCUGGCGGCAUGCCUUACACAUGCAAGUCGAACGGCAGCACGGGAGCUUGCUCCUGGUGGCGAGUGGCGAACGGGUGAGUAAUGCAUCGGAACGUAUCCUGGAGUGGGGGAUAACGUAGCGAAAGUUACGCUAAUACCGCAUAUUCUGUGAGCAGGAAAGCGGGGGACCUUCGGGCCUCGCGCUCUUGGAGCGGCCGAUGUCGGAUUAGCUAGUUGGUGAGGUAAAGGCUCACCAAGGCGACGAUCCGUAGCAGGUCUGAGAGGAUGAUCUGCCACACUGGAACUGAGACACGGUCCAGACUCCUACGGGAGGCAGCAGUGGGAAUUUUGGACAAUGGGGGCAACCCUGAUCCAGCCAUGCCGCGUGAGUGAAGAAGGCCUCGG
rnacentral:rRNA from 18 species